rnacentral:rRNA from 1 species
UACAGAGGGUGCAAGCGUUAAUCGGAAUUACUGGGCGUAAAGCGCGCGUAGGUGGUUUGUUAAGUUGGAUGUGAAAUCCCCGGGCUCAACCUGGGAACUGCAUUCAAAACUGACUGACUAGAGUCCGGAAGAGGAGAGUGGAAUUCCUGGUGUAGCGGUGAAAUGCGCAGAUAUCAGGAAGAACACCCGUGGCUAAGGCGGCUCUCUAGUACGGUACUGACGCUGAGACGCGAAAGCGUGGGGAGCGAACAGG